AUGAGGAGUGGGGCUGUCAAGGAUUCUAGCCGUUGCCAUUGCAUCUUGAGUCCAACGUGUCCGACGUGCCUCAUGCUCUUCCCACCGCCUGCCAAUCAUCUCAAAUUGCAUGGUGGCUUGAGGAGGUGGGUAAAUAGAAUCAAGGGCAAAAGGGCGCUUCUAAAGUUCUUUUUGGUAUGUCAUCCUCAGGAUGCGAAUCCACGUCUCUGGGGUCGAAAAGGUCACAAACAGAAAACCUGCUGCACUUCUGAGUCUUCACAGAUUUCAGUGAUUUGGUCCAAAUCCAGAAACCAUCUUGAGACAAUAAAAAGGCUGCUGAAUGGGAACCAAGCAGGACGGCUCAACUCUCACCGAGGUUCUCACACACAGUGACAGCUACCAGCGUCCAAAGUGCUGACAUUACGACUUAGAGAUGUGAUAAAGAGCAACAUGUACUGCAUUUUCUGUAAGUAAAUGUGGUUCCAGCCUGGAGAGAACGGACGUAAUCAGAUACCUGCUCUCCUUGAGUUUCUUAAUUUAAGCAUCGUGGUUCCUAAUUAGCAGUUAGAUUGCAUCCAUUGUUAUUUCAUCUUUGGUUAUCAAUGAUGAUCAACCUUUGCUAAACAAAGAUAUGUAAUCAUGUUAGGGACACUCAUGGAUUUUUUUUUAAGGGCUUUAACAUUUGAUAAUAGGUUUUCCAAUAGCUUGAAGGGUAGCUUUUAACAUUUCUUUUCCAGCUGAAGUAUUUCCUGAGUUCUGUCCAAGCCCUCUAUAGUUAAAGAAAAGGCUUUUUGACACUUAAUAGACAAUGUUGUGGCUUUUUUUCCUCUUCAGACAAAUGUAGAGGCAUUUAAACAGCCACAUUGUACUAUCGUAAUUGAGACACCUUGCAGCAAUGGCAAUUAUAGGGUGACUAGUGUCAAAAAUAUUCAGAAUAAAUUGCAUUUUAUCUGAUUUUUUAAAACUUUC
rnacentral:lncRNA from 1 species